rnacentral:rRNA from 1 species
AUUGAACGCUGGCGGCAGGCCUAACACAUGCAAGUCGAGCGGAUGAGAGGAGCUUGCUCUUUGAUUCAGCGGCGGACGGGUGAGUAAUGCCUAGGAAUCUGCCUGGUAGUGGGGGACAACGUUUCGAAAGGAACGCUAAUACCGCAUACGUCCUACGGGAGAAAGUGGGGGAUCUUCGGACCUCACGCUAUCAGAUGAGCCUAGGUCGGAUUAGCCAGUUGGUGAGGUAAUGGCUCACCAAGGCGACGAUCCGUAACUGGUCUGAGAGGAUGAUCAGUCACACUGGAACUGAGACACGGUCCAGACUCCUACGGGAGGCAGCAGUGGGGAAUAUUGGACAAUGGGCGCAAGCCUGAUCCAGCCAUGCCGCGUGUGUGAAGAAGGUCUUCGGAUUGUAAAGCACUUUAAGUUGGGAGGAAGGUCAGUAGCUUAAUACGUUGCUGAUUUGACGUUACCGACAGAAUAAGCACCGGCUAACUCUGUGCCAGCCGCCGCCGUAAAAC